rnacentral:tRNA from 1 species
GGGGUGCAGCUCAGUGGUAGAGCACUUGCCUAGCAUGUGUGAGGCCCUGGGUUCCAUCCCCAUCACCACA